rnacentral:rRNA from 1 species
AAAAACAUCGCCUCUUGAAUAAACCAUAAGAGGUCCAGCCUGCCCAGUGACAAAGUUAAACGGCCGCGGUACCCUAACCGUGCGAAGGUAGCGCAAUCACUUGUUCUUUAAAUGAGGACUAGUAUGAAUGGCAUCACGAGGGUUAUACUGUCUCCUUCCCCCAAUCAGUGAAACUGACCCCCCCGUGAAGAGGCGGGGAUAAGCCUAUAAGACGAGAAGACCCCAUGGAGCUUUAAACUCAGCACCACUUGCCACCCAUAUACACCAUUUUAACUMGGCAAACCUGACUGCUAGUUUUCGGUUGGGGUGACCGCGGAGCACAACAAAACCUCCACGAUGAAUGGACUUCACUUCCUAAUCAAAGAGCCACUACUCAAAGAAUCAAUAAACUGACAUAAAUUGAUCCAAUUUAUUUUGAUCAACGAACCAAGUUACCCUGGGGAUAACAGCGCAAUCCACUUCAAGAGCCCCUAUCGACAAGUGGGUUUACGACCUCGAUGUUGGAUCAGGGUAUCCUAGUGGUGCAGCCGCUACUAAUGGUUCGUUUGUUCAACGAUUAAAACCCUACGUGAUCUGAG